AUUGAACGCUGGCGGCAGGCUUAACACAUGCAAGUCGAGCGAGCGGCGGACGGGUGAGUAAUGUCUGGGAAACUGCCUGAUGGAGGGGGAUAACUACUGGAAACGGUAGCUAAUACCGCAUACCAUCAGAUGUGCCCAGAUGGGAUUAGCUAGUAGGUGGGGUAAUGGCUCACCUAGGCGACGAUCCCUAGCUGGUCUGAGAGGAUGACCAGCCCCACUGGAACUGAGCCACGGUCCAGCCUCCUACGGGAGGCAGCAGUGGGGAAUAUUGCACAAUGGGCGCAAGCCUGAUGCAGCCAUGCAGCGUGUGUGAAGAAGGCCUUCGGGUUGUAAAGCACUUUCGGCGAGGAGGCGUUACUCGCAGAAGAAGCACCGGCUAACUCCGUGCCAGCAGCCGCGGUAAUUC
rnacentral:rRNA from 1 species